CCGUUCUUCCUAGUGAUUUCCGUUUGAUCCUGCCGGAGGCUACUGCUAUUGGGAUUCGAUUAAGCCAUGCAAGUUGAAUGAAUUUAGAUUCAUGGCGUACGGCUCAGUAACACGUGGAUAACUUACCCUUAGGACUGGGAUAACUCUGGGAAACUGGGGAUAAUACCGGAUAUUAGGCUAUGUCUGCAAUGGUUUGCCUUUGAAAUGUUUUUUUUCGCCUAAGGAUAGAUCUGCGGCUGAUUAGGUCGUUGGUGGGGUAAUGGCCCACCAAGCCGAUGAUCGGUACGGGUUGUGAGAGCAAGGGCCCGGAGAUGGAACCUGAGACAAGGUUCCAGACCCUACGGGGUGCAGCAGGCGCGAAACCUCCGCAAUGUACGAAAGUGCGACGGGGGGAUCCCAAGUGUUAUGCUUAAAGGUAUGACUUUUCAUUAGUGUAAAAAGCUUUUAGAAUAAGAGCUGGGCAAGACCGGUGCCAGCCGCCGCGUGUACACCGGCAGCUCGAGUGGUAGCUGUUUUUAUUGGGCCUAAAGCGUUCGUAGCCGGUUUAAUAAGUCUUUGGUGAAAGCUUGUAGCUUAACUAUAAGAAUUGCUGGAGAUACUAUUAGACUUGAAGUCCGGAGAGGUUAGAGGUACUACCGGGGUAGGGGUGGAAUCCUAUAAUCCUGGGAGGACCACCUGUGGCGAAGGCGUCUAACUGGGACGAUCUUGACGGUGUAGUACCAAAGCCAGGUGCGCGAACCGGUAUUAAUACCCGGGUAGUCUUGGCCGUAAACAAUGUGGAACUGGUGUGUGGAUGCGCUUAG
rnacentral:rRNA from 1 species